rnacentral:rRNA from 1 species
GCAAGUCGAGCGGUAAGCUCACUUCGGUUAGCCUAGAGCGGCGGACGGGUGAGUAACCCGUGGAUAAUCUACCUCCUUGUUUGGGAUAGCUUGUGGAAACUACGGUAAUACCGAAUGAGAAUCAUUAGUCAAAAGGCUGUUGAAGGAAAGGCGCUGAGUCGUCGCAAGGGGAUGGGCCCGCGGCCGAUUAGCUAGACGGCAGGGUAAAAGCCUACCGUGGCAAUGAUGGGUAGCCGGCCUGAGAGGGUGAUC